AGCGCGCAUCGAUCUAUUGCGUAAUACAUUUUAGUGACGCCUUUGUGCAUGUUGCAACGUCAGAGCAAGUGACUCUAACGUUUUUAUGUUUUGAAUUCUUAAUGGUUUCUUGGCAUACAUCACAUUCAUCUGGUGGAAUAUUCAUACAAUCUUUGCAGUACCAGCCAUGACCACAGCUCUUCAGCACAUAACGAAUGCCAUCCGGAGCAUCACUGUAACAUCUCAAACACAACAGGCAGCGUGUUCCCGUUGGAUCCAAAAGACUGUUUCCAAUGGGUGACACUUUUAAAUCUAUGUUCAAAAAACAAGGUUCGAUAUCUUGACAUUUACAAAUAGAGCAUGUUUUGAGCCUGGCUAAGCAUCUUCAACAGCACCAUCCAUGGCCACAAGGUAC